UGGGGAAUCUUGCACAAUGGGCGCAAGCCUGAUGCAGCCAUGCCGCGUGUAUGAAGAAGGCCUUCGGGUUGUAAAGUACUUUCAGUCGGGAGGAAGGUGGUAAGGUUAAUAACCUUGGCAAUUGACGUUACCGACAGAAGAAGCACCGGCUAACUCCGUGCCAGCAGCCGCGGUAAUACGGAGGGUGCAAGCGUUAAUCGGAAUUACUGGGCGUAAAGCGCACGCAGGCGGUUGAUUGAGUCAGAUGUGAAAUCCCCGGGCUUAACCCGGGAAUUGAAUCUGUUACUGGUCAGCUAGAGUCUUGUAGAGGGGGGGAGGAUUACAUGUGUGGCGGUGAAAUGCGUAGAGAUGUGGAGGAAGACCGGUGGCGAGGGCGGCCCCCUGGACAAAGACUGACGCUCAGGUGCGAAAGCGUGGGGGGCAAACAGG
rnacentral:rRNA from 1 species